AUGUCUCUUUCUCUACAGCUGUUAGCUAGAAACACUUGCCGCCCAAUGCUAAAAACAAUGGAGGAGAGGUUAAUAGCAGCGGUGUCCGACUAUCCCGAGUUAUACAACUCUACAAUAAAUUCAUAUAAAGACGCUGCUAGAAAAGCCAAAGCAUGGAGAGCCGUGAGUCUGCAAGUGGAAAUCCCUGAACUAACAGAACGUGUAUUUGAGUUGAAAAGGCAUUGGAUGGGUUAAUCUGCUAGAUAUGACGCUUAUCUGUACGCAAGCAUGAGUUGUUUUGAGUUUGGUGAUCUGCACAGUAAGUGGGAUUUGCUUUCAUUGAAAGUUUAUUGAAUUCUGUUUUGAUGCACAAAGCGAUCAUUUGAACCAGAGAUGCAUCAGUCAGAUUUGGUUUUGUAUAGUAAAAAAUUUUUUUUUAUUUUUUUUUUUGCAAAGUAUGAUGCUCACGCUUGCAUACUUUUCGAUGCUGUAUCCAUCAAUUUAGACGUCAUUUGCUAAAUACAUUACUGAAUAUGUUUUAAUAUGCUGGAAAAGUUUUACAUAUUCACUGGUACAUGUUGUAAAUUGUGAUCUAAACUGGCCCUAGACAUACAUUUUUUUUUCUCCAUGCAAGAAAUUAGUAUUAUUGUUCAAUAUUUCAUUUAUGUAAUUAAAAUUAAAUGUAUUUGUGCUUAAAUUGCUACUUAUUGACAAUUGUAAGAUUUGUUGUUUUGUCAUUAAUAUGCUUAAUUAACUUCUAAUUGUAAAAUCUUUGUAUAUUUAACUAAUAUAAUUAACUAUAGUUAAGAAUACAUGUAUGUCUAUUCAAAAUAGAUUGAUAUUUUACACAUACACACACACACACACAAACACAUAAAUAUAUAUAUAUAUAUAUAUAUAUAUAUAUAUAUAUGUUAUAUUAAUAAUUAUCAUUGAUUAAAUCACUAUUUAUUGAUUAUUGUAAAAUUGUUAUUUUUAUUCAAUAUACAUAUGCUUAAAUUACUACUUAUUGUAAAAUGUAUUGCUAAUUAUAUUAUGAAUUAAAUAUAG
ensembl:lncRNA